rnacentral:lncRNA from 1 species
UAAAGGAUUAAAUUGGCUUCUUAGGAAUUUUUAUUCAUUAUAACUUAAUAAUAAAGCACUUUUUAAGAGAGGAAGGGUGCUUUGUAAAUCUUUUGAAUAGCACACUUUGAAAUAUUUCUGAUGUAGAUCAUACACAGUCAGGCUCAGUAACGUAGUACUCUUGCACUUUGUUGAAUUCAGAUUAGAUUUCCUUCAUGCUUUAAUUGGUUUAGCCUUUAUUUUUUGUCAUUGAUUUCACUGUGUCAGGUAGGAAAGUUCUGAUGAUAACAAUUUAGUCUUCCAUCUAUCUUAUUCUUUUUUUAAAAGUGUGCAUUAUUUUAGAAACCAUCUGUGUAAAUUUAGAUACCUUGUUGUAUGUCACUUUUGUCUAGCUUUUUUCUCUAAAUGUCUUGGUAACUUCAUUGUCUGGUACUGUAAUAAUUGGAUGUCCUCCAUGAGAACCCACGUGCCCUUUUAUGCUAAAUUGAGUAGAGCUAUAUUUUCCCACAGGGUGCAGUGUAGACAGAGUGAGGUUAACAGGACUGUGGAAAGAUGUGGUGGUAAGAUGAUUGGACAGAGGCUCACAGCAAAUUGAGCUGAAACUUUAUUUGUAAGGAGAUUCUGAGGUGAUCUGAGUGCUUCUGUCUGUUGUGUGUUUGAUCUGAGUUUUCUCAAGAGAUUUAGUUUACCUGCUUUCUGAGAUCAUUUUUUAAAGUUUUCCUCCAAAACAGAGUAAUGUGUAAUUAUGUAUCAUUUAUAUGAUAGCAGAACUAUCUCCUCCCUCUUUCAUUAAAUAUUUACUUUUACAUGGCUUCAGUGCAGAUAGAUUUUGGUGAAUAAAAAUGUAAACUUUGGAUUCGCAAAUGAAAGACUAUUUUCCAGACUUCCCAAGCUACCAAUAAAGAAAUUUCUACAUGAUUUUAAUAAAUACACAAAAGUUACCGAAGUUGAAUGAUAACGUUUAAGUAAAAAGGCUUAGUAUAAGUUCGUGUCCCUUCAUUGGUUCAAGAACCUCUUAAGUCUGAAAAUUUUUCAAGUCUUGAAAAUUGUAAAACAAGGAUAAUUGAGGGUUUUAUAAGAGGAAGUAAAAAAGAAGUUUGACAUGUUCAGGUGAAAAAGUAAAACUAACACUUUUUCUUAUUUUUAAGUGAGGGAUCUGACUCCUUAAUUUUCUAGUUUUUCUUUUAAUCAAGGGCUCUAUUACUGUCACCAUUGAGAAAUUGUAAUAAUAUCAAGAGACAUGUAGGUAAGUGGUCACUUUAGGUACAAAAUAUUGAUUGGGUUAAGCCCAGUUGCUGGCAUUGGUUGGGUGUAGAGAGUAACAAAAAAAGAAAGAAGGACGUAGAUAUGACUAUUUAAAAGAGGCUCUUAAUUUUGUAACUCCUGU